rnacentral:rRNA from 1 species
AGUAUAUAUUUCCGGUCAAGAAACUAAGGGCGCAAGGCGGAUGCCUUGGCACCAGGAGGCGAAGAAGGACGUGACAAGCAACGAAAACCUCGAAUAGGAGCAAAUAUCCAGUAACUCGGGGGAAUCCGAAUGGGGAAACCUACUAGACACACUCUAGUAUCCAUACGUAAAUACAUAGCGUAUGGAGGCGAAUGUUCUGAACUGAAACAUCUAAGUAGGAACAAGAAAAGAAAGAAAACUCGAUUCUCCAAGUAGCGGCGAGCGAACAGAGACAAGCCCAUUAAAGUAAGACUAAACUGAUAGACAAAUCUUAUGGAAAGAAGAACCAAAGAAAGUAACAGUCUUGUAGUCGAAAUCAGAAUAGAGACACUUUAAGAAGAGUACCACGGAGCACGUGAAAUUCUGUGGGAAGAUAGGGGGACCACCCCCUAAGGCUAAAUACUACCUGGUGACCGAUAGCGAAUAGUACCGUGAGGGAAAGGUGAAAAGAACCCCGGGAGGGGAGUGAAACAGAACCUGAAACCUUGCGCCUACAAGCAGACAGAGGAAGAAGACUUCUAAUGUCGUACUUUUUGUAGAACGGGCCAGCGAGUUACGAUACGUAGCAAGAUUAAACAUUUAAGAUGUGAAGUCGCAGGGAAACCGAGUCUUAAUAGGGCGAAAGUUAUGUGUUGUAGACCCGAAACCGGGUGAUCUAUCCAUGGGCAGAGUGAAGGUAAAGUAAAAUUUACUGGAGGCUCGAACCGGGUAGCGUUUAAAAGCUAUCGGAUGACCUGUGGAUAGGGGUGAAAAGCCAAUCGAACUCGGAUAUAGCUGGUUCUCCUCGAAAUAGCUUUAGGGCUAGCCUUGUUUUAGAUUACAGGAGGUAGAGCACUGAAUAGUCUAGGGGAAGUAAUUCUACCGAAACUUAUCAAACUCCGAAUGCCUGAAAAUCGAUGAACAGGAGUCAGACCAUGAGGGAUAAGCUUCAUAGUCAAAAGGGAAACAGCCCAGACCACCAGUUAAGGUCCCAAAAUACAGAUUAAGUGGGAAAGGAUGUAAUACUACUCAGACAACCAGGAUGUUGGCUCAGAAGCAGCCAUACAUUUAAAGAGUGCGUAAUAGCUCACUGGUCAAGUGGUAAUGCGCCGAAGAUGAACGGGGCUAAAUCUGAUACCGAAACUGUGGGAUAGAAAAGCAAUUAUGCGAGAAGUAUGAAGUUAAAGAUCAAGGAAAUAUAUCAACUAGUAAAGUAAGAGAGAAAGACANAUACUACUCAGACAACCAGGAUGUUGGCUCAGAAGCAGCCAUACAUUUAAAGAGUGCGUAAUAGCUCACUGGUCAAGUGGUAAUGCGCCGAAGAUGAACGGGGCUAAAUCUGAUACCGAAACUGUGGGAUAGAAAAGCAAUUAUGCGAGAAGUAUGAAGAAAAGUGAUUAGGAAAUAUAUCAACUAGUAAAGUAAGAGAAAUAAGACGAAAAUUUUAAAGUGGAAACACAAAAAGCGUAAAACUAUUAAACGAUACAAUUUCUAAAACACUUAACAACAUACAACUGGCAUAAUAGCUUUUCUAUCGGUAGAGGAGCGUUGUAUAUGAAUUGAAGCAAAAAGCGUAAGCAAUUGUGGAUUAUAUACAAGUGAGAAUGCUGGCAUNAGGAAAUAUAUCAACUAGUAAAGUAAGAGAGAAAGACAUAAAUUAAAACUAUUAAACGAUACAAUUUCUAAAAAACUUAACAACAUACAACUGGCAUAAUAGCUUUUCUAUCGGUAGAGGAGCGUUGUAUAUGAAUUGAAGCAAAAAGCGCAAGCAAUUGUGGAUUAUAUACAAGUGAGAAUGCUGGCAUGAGUAGCGAAAAGGGAUGUGAGAAUCAUCCCCGUCGAAAGCCCAAGGAUUCCUGAGCAAGGCUCGUCCUCUCAGGGUAAGUCGGGACCUAAGGCGAGGCCGAAAGGCGUAGUCGAUGGACAACAGGUAGAAAUUCCUGUACUACAAGAUUGUGAUUGAGAGAAGUACUGACGCAGAAGGAAAAGUCGAGCGUGUGAAUGGUAGAACACGUCCAAGUAACAAGCCAGAAUAUACAGGCAAAUCCGUAUAUUCGUUAACGUAAGUUAUCAUGGGGAGCAGAAAGAUGCGAAGCGACAGAUUCAAACUGCCAAGAAAAGGUGCUAUCGAAUAAUCUUGUACCCGUACCGCAAACCGACACAGGUAGGCAAGAAGAGAAUUCUAAGACGCGCGGAAGAACCUUUGUUAAGGAACUCGGCAAAAUAAUCCCGUAAGUUAGCGAGAAGGGAUGCCUAAGAAAUUAGGUCGCAGAGAAUAGGCCCAAGCGACUGUUUACCAAAAACACAAGUAUCUGCUAAAUCGAAAGAUGAAGUAUAGGUGCUGACACCUGCCCGGUGCUGGAAGGUCAAGGGGACUUGUUAGAGCAAUCGAAGCAACGAACUUAAGCCCCAGUAAACGGCGGCCGUAACUAUAACGGUCCUAAGGUAGCGAAAUUCCUUGUCGGGUAAGUUCCGACCCGCACGAAAGGUGUAACGAUUUGGGCGCUGUCUCAACAAAGGAUCCGGUGAAAUUGUAGUAGUCGUGAAGAUGCGACUUACCCACGGUAGGACGGAAAGACCCCGUGGAGCUUUACUGCAGGUUGACAUUGAAUUUUGGGAUUAAAUGUACAGGAUAGGUGGGAGACAAAGAAGCAAGCUCGCCAGAGUUUGCAGAGUCACUGUUGGGAUACCACCCUUUUAAUUCUAAAGUUCUAACUAGUUGCCAUGAAACUGGUAAUAGGACACUGUCAGUCGGGCAGUUUGACUGGGGCGGUCGCCUCCAAAAAAGUAACGGAGGCGUUCAAAGGUUCGCUCAGAAUGGUUGGAAAUCAUUCAAAGAGUACAAAGGCAAAAGCGAGCUUAACUGCGAGACAAACAGGUCGAGCAGAGACGAAAGUCGGACUUAGUGAUCCGGUGGUACCGAGUGGAAGGGCCAUCGCUCAACGGAUAAAAGCUACCCCGGGGAUAACAGGCUUAUCUCCCCCAAGAGUCCACAUCGACGGGGAGGUUUGGCACCUCGAUGUCGGCUCGUCUCAUCCUGGAGCUGGAGUAGGUUCCAAGGGUUGGGCUGUUCGCCCAUUAAAGAGGCACGCGAGCUGGGUUCAGAACGUCGUGAGACAGUUCGGUCCCUAUCCACCGUGGGCGUGAGAAAUUUGAGAGGAUCUGUCCUUAGUACGAGAGGACCGGGAUGGACAGACCGCUGGUGUACGAGUUGUACUGCCAAGUGCACAGCUCGGUAGCUACGUCUGGGAAGGAUAAGUGCUGAAGGCAUCUAAGCACGAAACCAACCUCGAGAUAAGAUUUCUAUGAGAUUACUUGAAGAAAACAAGAUAGAUAGGUCAGAGGUGUAAAGAUAGUAAUAUCAAAGCUAACUGAUACUAAUAAAUCGAAAACUUGACU